rnacentral:rRNA from 1 species
GGCUCUUUGUAGACUAAAAAUAGGGAGUCGUACCUGCCCGGUGAAUUGUUUUAACGGCCGCGGUACUCUGACCGUGCAAAGGUAGCAUAAUCAUUUGCCUUAUAAUUGAAGGCUGGUAUGAAUGGUUUGACAAGAAUAUAGCUGUCUCUUUUUAAUUAAUUAGAAUUUUAUCUGCAAGUGAAGAAGCUUGCAUAUAAUUGAUAGACAAGAAGACCCUGUCGAGCUUAAAAAAAGUUAAGAGGCUAAGAAUUAAUAAACUUAAACAAUAGGCUAUUUUUUAUUUUGGUUGGGGCGACUGAGGAACAAAAGAAGCUUCCUUUUUUAAAAACACCAAUUAGUAAUGAUCCAGAAAAUUCUGAUUAAAAAAAUUAGUUACCGCAGGGAUAACAGCAUAAUUUCCUUUAAGAGCCCAUAUCGAAAAGGGAGUUUGUGACCUUGAUGUUGGACCAGAAUAUCCUAAAGAUGCAGCAGUCUUUAAGGGUUGGUCUGUUCGACCAUUAAAAUUCUACG